UGCCAGCCGCCGCGGUAACACGGGGGGCGCAAGCGUUAUUCGGAAUUAUUGGGCGUAAAGGGCGUGUAGGCGGCGUGAUAAGUGAGAGGUGAAAGCCCCGGGCUCAAUCUGGGAUGGUCAUUUAGAACUGGCAGACUAGAGUCUUGGAGAGGGGAGUGGAAUUCCAGGUGUAGCGGUGAAAUGCGUAGAUAUCUGGAGGAACAUCAGUGGCGAAGGCGGCUCCCUGGCCAAAGACUGACGCUCAUGUGCGAAAGUGUGGGUAGCGAACAGGAUUAGAUA
rnacentral:rRNA from 1 species